GCCUGGGUGGCUCAGUCGGUUAAACAUCCGACUUCAACUCAGGUCAUGAUCUUGUGGUUCAUGGGUUCGAGUCCCAUGUCAGGCU
rnacentral:tRNA from 1 species